rnacentral:rRNA from 1 species
GACGAACCGUGCGAACGUUAUUCGGAAUCACUGGGCUUAAAGCGCGUGUAGGCGGGCGUGCACGUCGGAUGCUGAAAGCCCCCGGCUCAACCGGGGAAGUGGCACCGAUACGGCAGGCCUGGAGGGGGGUAGGGGGGCCUGGAACUUCCGGUGGAGCGGUGAAAUGCGUUGAGAUCGGAAGGAACGCCCGUGGCGAAAGCGAGGCCCUGGACCCACCCUGACGCUGAGACGCGAAAGCCAGGGGAGCGAACGGG